rnacentral:rRNA from 1 species
UAAUGCAGCCAUACGACAAGCAUGUAAUCGACCUGAAGCAAAGCAGUUUUAGGCCUGGCCAGUACUUGGACGGGAGACCAACUAGAAAAGCUGGGUUGCUGCUGGAA